UCAAGCACCAGCUCGAAGAAGC
rnacentral:miRNA from 2 species